rnacentral:rRNA from 1 species
GACGAACGCUGGCGGCGUGCUUAACACAUGCAAGUCGAACGCUGAACCCGCUUCGGUGGGGGAUGAGUGGCGAACGGGUGAGUAACACGUGGGCAACCUGCCCCCGGCUCUGGGAUAACUCCAAGAAAUUGGGGCUAAUACCGGAUGUGACCGCUGGCCGCAUGGUCUGGUGGUGGAAAGGGUUUCCGGCUGGGGAUGGGCCCGCGGCCUAUCAGCUUGUUGGUGGGGUAGUGGCCUACCAAGGCGACGACGGGUAGCCGGCCUGAGAGGGUGACCGGCCACACUGGGACUGAGACACGGCCCAGACUCCUACGGGAGGCAGCAGUGGGGAAUAUUGCGCAAUGGGCGGAAGCCUGACGCAGCGACGCCGCGUGGGGGAUGACGGCCUUCGGGUUGUAAACCUCUUUCAGCAGGGACGAAGCGCAAGUGACGGUACCUGCAGAAGAAGCACCGGCCAACUACGU